AUUCCAGCUCCAAUAGCGUAUAUUAAAGUUGUUGCGGUUAAAAAGCUCGUAGUUGGAUUUCUGCCGAGGAUGACCGGUCCGCCCUGUGGGUGUGCAUCUGGCUCAGCCUUGGCAUCUUCCUGAAGAACGUAGCUGCACUUGACUGUGUGGUGCGGUAUUUAGGACAUUUACUUUGAGGAAAUUAGAGUGUUUCAAGCAAGCGCACGCUUUGAAUACAUUAGCAUGGAAUAAUAAGAUAGGACCUCGGUUCUAUUUUGUUGGUUUCUAGAGCUGAGGUAAUGAUUGAUAGGGAUAGUUGGGGGCAUUUGUAUUCAAACGACAGAGGUGAAAUUCUUGGACCGUUUGAAGACAAACUACUGCGAAAGCACUUGCCAAGAAUGUUUUCAUCA
rnacentral:rRNA from 1 species